GCUUAACACAUGCAAGUCGAGGGGAAACGACAUCGAAAGCUUGCUUUUGAUGGGCGUCGACCGGCGCACGGGUGAGUAACGCGUAUCCAACCUGCCCACCACUUGGGGAUAACCUUGCGAAAGUAAGACUAAUACCCAAUGACGUCUCUAGAAGACAUCUGAAGGAGAUUAAAGAUUUAUCGGUGAUGGAUGGGGAUGCGUCUGAUUAGCUUGUUGGCGGGGUAACGGCCCACCAAGGCGACGAUCAGUAGGGGUUCUGAGAGGAAGGUCCCCCACAUUGGAACUGAGACACGGUCCAAACUCCUACGGGAGGCAGCAGUGAGGAAUAUUGGUCAAUGGGCGAGAGCCUGAACCAGCCAAGUAGCGUGCAGGAUGACGGCCCUAUGGGUUGUAAACUGCUUUUAUAAGGGAAUAAAGUGAGCCUCGUGAGGCUUUUUGCAUGUACCUUAUGAAUAAGGACCGGCUAAUUCCGUGCCAGCAGCCGCGGUAAUACGGAAGGUCCGGGCGUUAUCCGGAUUUAUUGGGUUUAAAGGGAGCGUAGGCCGGAGAUUAAGCGUGUUGUGAAAUGUAGACGCUCAACGUCUGCACUGCAGCGCGAACUGGUUUCCUUGAGUACGCACAAAGUGGGCGGAAUUCGUGGUGUAGCGGUGAAAUGCUUAGAUAUCACGAAGAACUCCGAUUGCGAAGGCAGCUCACUGGAGCGCAACUGACGCUGAAGCUCGAAAGUGCGGGUAUCGAACAGGAUUAGAUACCCUGGUAGUCCGCACGGUAAACGAUGGAUGCCCGCUGUUGGUCUGAAUAGGUCAG
rnacentral:rRNA from 1 species